rnacentral:rRNA from 1 species
UACGUAGGGUGCGAGCGUUAAUCGGAAUUACUGGGCGUAAAGCGUGCGCAGGCGGUCUUGUAAGACAGGCGUGAAAUCCCCGGGCUCAACCUGGGAAUGGCGCUUGUGACUGCAAAGCUGGAGUGCGGCAGAGGGGGAUGGAAUUCCGCGUGUAGCAGUGAAAUGCGUAGAGAUGUGGAGGAACACCGAUGGCGAAGGCAAUCCCCUGGACCUGUACCGACGCUCAUGCACGAAAGCGUGGGGAGCAAACAGG